rnacentral:tRNA from 1 species
GCACCUUUAGCUCAGUUGGUAGAGCAGCGGACUCUUAAUCCGUUUGUCCAGGGUUCAAGUCCCUGAAGGUGCACGA